rnacentral:rRNA from 1 species
CGCUGCUAGCUCACACAGUAAACGAAGCAUGCCACUCGCAAGCAAGCAUCCUUCAUUGAGACACACGUACGCUAGCAACCUUUCUAUUUGGGGGGUUGCGUGGCAAGAGUUAAACGCUAGUUAAUUGACAGGGGCCCUCACAAGCGGUGGAGCAUGACAUUUAAUCCUUAGCCACGCGCGGAACUUUUUCACCCCCUGACAUCCUUUGUCACACCCAGAGAUGGAUGGUUUCAUUCGGGCACGCAGUGACAGAUAUUGCACGGCUCUCCUCAGCUUGUGUGUUGAGAUGUUCUGUCAAGUCCAGCAAGGAGCACCAUCCACUUCGUCCAUUUACAGCUGUUCGCCUGGGCGAUCCGGUGAAUCUCCACGUGAUUAGCGGCAGGAAGGUAUGGCCGACGGCAAGAGCUCAGGAGCUCUACGUCUUGGGCUCCACGCUUGUUUCAAUAGCAGUGCCAAGGGGUUAAUCGCCAAAAACCGUAUCAGUUCAGAUUCCCAUGCGCAACUCGAGAGCAUGAAGUUGGAAUCGCUAGUAAUUGCCCGACAGCACAGAUAGGUGAAUUCCGCUCCGGGCGCAUGUGUUAGGCCUCAA